rnacentral:rRNA from 1 species
GCUUACGGCCAUACCACCCUGAGCGCGCCCGAUCUCGUCUGAUCUCGGAGGCUAAGCAGGGUCGGGCCUGGUUAGUACUUGGAUGGGAGACCGCCUGGGAAUACCAGGUUCUGUAAGCU